GCAUUGGUGGUUCAGUGGUAGAAUUUUCACUUUUUAUGUGGGAGACCCGGGUUCAAUUCUUGGCCAAUGCA
rnacentral:tRNA from 1 species